rnacentral:rRNA from 1 species
AUGAACGCUGGCGGCGUGCCUAAUACCUGCCAGUCGAGCGAACGGACGAGAAGCUUGCUUCUCUGAUGUUAGCGGCGGACGGGUGAGUAACACGUGGAUAACCUACCUAUAAGACUGGGAUAACUUCGGGAAACCGGAGCUAAUACCGGAUAAUAUUUUGAACCGCAUGGUUCAAAAGUGAAAGACGGUCCUGCUGUCACUUAUAGAUGGAUCCGCGCUGCAUUAGCUAGUUGGUAAGGUAACGGCUUACCAAGGCAACGAUGCAUAGCCGACCUGAGAGGGUGAUCGGCCACACUGGAACUGAGACACGGUCCAGACUCCUACGGGAGGCAGCAGUAGGGAAUCUUCCGCAAAGGGCGAAAGCCUGACGGAGCAACGCCGCGUGAGUGAUGAAGGUCUUCGGAUCGUAAAACUCUGUUAUUAGGGAAGAACAUAUGUGUAAGUAACUGUGCACAUCUUGACGGUACCUAAUCAGAAAGCCACGGCUAACUACGUG